rnacentral:lncRNA from 1 species
CGCCAGGUGCGCCGGGGACUUAGGCAGUGCCGCGCCGAAUGGCCCGCGCCGGUUUCCAAGGUGAAGGAGGAGGAGCCUCUGAGGAAAAGUUUCCACAGAAACUUGAGCUGGGCGCAGAGAAGCACUCGCGCCCUUGGGGGCUAACGUUUGGCCGGAGCUACACACUCUUUACUCACGCACGCACACCGCCGUACACAGCACAAUCGUUCACCGUCCCGCCAAAGGCUCGUCUCUCGGGUUCUGCCUAGUGGAAGGAGUCGGACAACGCCGCACGUCACGGGCGUUUCGGAUUUCUUGCUUCCCAAAGGUUUGACGGCGGCCACCGGCGCCCCGGCCCAGCUCUGCUUUCCUUUGCUGACUCCUUCCUUGAGGUGUGAAUUUUAAAAUGCUGAUACCGCCCCAAGAGAGCUGAGUCAAGUGAGCUGUCUACCACCACUGCUGCGCUUGUGGAUGACUGCAGGAACACCGGGUACUUGCCACAAGUAUCUCUCCAGAUUCAUCAGCCUUUCACCUGUGACAAGCUCAGUCAAGAAGUGGCUCCUAAGUAAAAGCUGGGGAAGAACAAGGAAGAUAGAGCUCAGAGUAGAAAGCUGUGAAGUUCUGCACAACAGGUCCCCUUGGCCUGCUCUAACAGUUGGAAGACAGGCAUGGUAGCUCAUGUGGAAGCUUCCCGAGGCCCUCACCCAGAAGCAGAUGCUGGAGCCAUGCUUGUACAGCUUGCAGAACUAGCAACUUGUAUCGUAGGAAUCAUCAGGCAAUAAGAUGCAGGGAAAACUCUGGAUACUGCAUACCCAAAGUUGAAUAUAUUUUUCUUCUUUUUGAAACUUUUAAUACACAUAAAGACAAGUGCACGUAUUAUAAGUAUAUAGUUCAGUUUAUUUCGACAACCUGAAUAAACCCAUGUAAUCAGCACCCAGAUCAGGAAACAGAAUCUGGAAGCUUCCUUGUGUCCCCUUCCA